GACGAACGCUGGCGGCGUGCUUGACACAUGCAAGUCGAACGGAAAGGCCUGCUUUCCCUUGUGGAUUGCGGGUACUCGCGUGGCGAACGGGUGAGUAACACGUGAGUGAUCUGCCCCCAACUUGGGUAUAAGCCUGGGAAACUGGGUCUAAUUCCCGAUAGGACUGCAGGGUGGUGCCCGUGGUGGAAAACGAUUUUCUAGUGGUUGGGGAUGAGCUCGCGGCCUAUCAGCUUGUUGGUGGGGUAAUGGCCUACCAAGGCGGCGACGGGUAGCCGGCCUGGGAGGGUGGACGGCAACAGUGGGACUGAGAUACGGCCCAGACUCCUACGGGAGGCAGCAGUGGGGAAUAGGGCACAAGGGGCGGAAGCCUGAUGCAGCGACGCCGCGUGGGGGAUGACGGCCUUCGGGUUGUAAACUCCUUUCGACCGCGAGGAAGCCACCUGGUUGGAAGGGUGGUGACGGUAGUGGUAGAAGAAGCACCGGCUAACUACGUG
rnacentral:rRNA from 1 species